rnacentral:misc_RNA from 1 species
GAUGAAGAACGUAGUGAAAUGCGAUAAGUAAUGUGAAUUGCAGAAUUCAGUGAAUCAUCGAAUCUUUGAACGCACCUUGCGCUCCUUGGUAUUCCAAGGAGCAUGCCUGUUUGAGUAUCAUUAAAUUAUCAACUGUGCCAAUUUGGUUACAGAUUGGAUGUGGGAGAUUCUUUUUGCAGGCCUUUGACUUCUCUUUGAGAAAAAAAAUAAAAGGUCGGCUCUCCUGAAAUGUAUUAGCAGUGCCUUUGUUGGUUCAUUAGGUGUGAUAAAUUGUCUACAUCUUCGCAUGAUACCUUCAUUUGUAAAGGUCAUAUUGCUUCUAAAUUGUCUUUGAUUGGACGCAAAACAUAUAUAAUGUUUGACAAACUUGAUCUCAAAUCAGGCAGGACUACCCGCUGAACUUAAGCAUAUCAAUAAGCGGAGGA